rnacentral:Y_RNA from 1 species
GGCUGUUUCAAGUGCAACGGGGUUUACAACUCAUUGAUCACAACCAGUUACAGAUUUCUUUGUUCCUUCUCCACUCCCGCUGCUUCACUUGACUGGCCUAAA